CAGCAGCCGCGGGAAUACGUAGGGUGCAAGCGUUAAUCGGAAUUACUGGGCGUAAAGCGUGCGCAGGCGGUUAUAUAAGACAGAUGUGAAAUCCCCGGGCUCAACCUGGGAACUGCAUUUGUGACUGUAUAGCUAGAGUACGGCAGAGGGGGAUGGAAUUCCGCGUGUAGCAGUGAAAUGCGUAGAUAUGCGCAGGAACACCGAUGGCGAAGGCAAUCCCCUGGGCCUGUACUGACGCUCAUGCACGAAAGCGUGGGGAGCAAACAGGAUUAGAUACCCGUGUAGUCCCUGUCUCUUAUAC
rnacentral:rRNA from 1 species